rnacentral:rRNA from 1 species
GCUAGCUGUUAGCGAUAUACUGUUAGCGGCACAGAGAAAUCGUUAAGCAUNCCACCUGGGGAGUACGCCGGCAACGGUGAAACUCAAAGGAAUNGACGGGGGCCCGCACAAGCGGAGGAACAUGUGGUUUAAUUCGAUGAUACGCGAGGAACCUUACCUGGGCUUAAAUUGCAGUGGAAUAACGUGGAAACAUGUUAGCCUUCGGGCCGCUGUGAAGGUGCUGCAUGGUUGUCGUCAGCUCGUGCCGUGAGGUGUCGGCUUAAGUGCCAUAACGAGCGCAACCCUCAUCGAUAGUUACUAACAGGUUAAGCUGAGGACUCUAUCGAGACUGCCGACGUAAGUCGUGAGGAAGGUGGGGAUGACGUCAAAUCAGCACGGCCCUUACGUCCAGGGCUACACACGUGUUACAAUGGGGGGUACAAAGGGCAGCUACCUGGCGACAGGAUGCUAAUCUCAAAAACCUCUCUCAGUUCGGAUUGGAGUCUGCAACCCGACUCCAUGAAGCUGGAUUCGCUAGUAAUCGCGCAUCAGCCACGGCGCGGUGAAUACGUUCCCGGGCCUUGUACACACCGCCCGUCAAGCCAUGGGAGCCGGGGGGACCUGAAGUAUGCAACCGUAAGGAGCGUCCUAGGGUAAAACUGGUGACUGGGGCU